GACGAACGCUGGCGGCGUGCUUAAUACAUGCAAGUCGAACGGAAAGACCAGGCGUUUGUGGCGUGCACGAGUGGCGAACGGGUGAGUAAAACGCGUGUAACAUGUACCUGACUUUGGGGUAACUUCACGGAACAGGGGCUAAUACCGGAUAUGAGCUCUUGCUGCAUGGUGGUGGAUGGAAAGUGUCGGCGGUUGGGGAUGGAUUCGCGGCUUAUCAGCUUGUUGGUCGAGUAGUGGCUGACAAAGGCUGUGACGGGUAGCCGGCCUGAGAGGGUGGCCGGCGACAAUGGGACUAAGAGACGGACCAGACGCCUACGGGAGGCAGCAGGGGGGAAUUUUGCAGAGUGGGCGGAAGUCAGAGGCAGCAACGCCGCGUGCGGGAUGACGGCCUUCGAGUUGAAAACCGAUGUCGACUUAGACGAGGCGGGAGUGACGGUACUUAGUAAGGAAGCACCGGCUAACUACGUG
rnacentral:rRNA from 1 species